rnacentral:rRNA from 2 species
UUGACCUCGGAUCAGGUAGGGAUACCCGCUGAACUUAAGCAUAUCAAUAAGCCGGA